CAAGCAAAUCCUUGCCACUGCUGGUCUUCGGAGCGACCGGGUAUGGGAGGGAGAAUGGACCACUUGCCAGCAAUCGGGUCGUAUGCGCGGAAUGGAGUUCCUUUGGGAGUCUGUGCGAGUACGUAAAUCCAUCCUUCCGACGUGCCCAUCUGAAUAACAUUGUAUCUGAGCUCAGUACCUCCAAAAACUCACAAGAAGCAAGAGUGGAAACAGUAUUCUUGACACACCACUGAACCCCUAUGCCCUACGGAAACCUUGAGAGUCGAUUUCGAUCUUGGAACGAGAACAUGAAGGGCUUUAAAUUAGAAACAUUCAAGACUGCUAGGAGUGAAAUUGAUCACAGUGAUAACAUCUAAUGUCGUCUAAAUCAGAAAUACAUACGCAGCCGUAACAAGCAUAUCUCCGUACAGAGCUUUAAUUUGUUUCUCUUUAAUUUAUUACAGAAUCCUAGCUUCAAACUGCUCCGUCGGCAACAGAACAAUCUCAAGCAGGAGAUUCUAGUGCCAUGAACCGUUCGGUCAGGAUUCAAGGUAUGUAAGAGCAAUGCUGUCCUUCGUCCUCUAAAUGUUAACAUCAGAUUAGGUUGGUUGUGGGAGCAGAAAUAACGUGAGUCUUACUCUCACUGCCGUUAACACCAAGAGCUAAUGCUGAAGGAGCUGAAUUUUAUUUCUCCUCCACAUAGCCGAUUCAACUCUCGAUUCAUUCCGUUUAUCCAGAUCCUGCAGAAUCGAUGGCAAGUUUUUCUUCAUUUCUUUCUUUUUACGAUUUUUUGUUUUCGUUUCUUUGUUCUUUUUCCUUUUUUAAUCCCUCGAGCUCAGGCACCCUCAGACAUUCCAACCAGUAAAAUUCUUUUACACAUGUCAUACUCAAGAAGUGCAAUUCGUAGUCUUCACGAUCGGCGCCUGCUGUUGGUUAGCAAGGGACAAACGACACCAUAACCAAGAGCUGCAGAAGCCAGAUUCCCACCAGCCCCCCUACAAAGUACAAGCUGGGACGUCGACAUCCUGCUGGUGAUGGACCCAAAUUACAUGCCCUGACCAAGGACGUUAUCCAUGCGAAUGAGCCAACUCGGAAAACGCAAAAUACAGUAACCAGGAAUCCACCCAUAGACAGGCAACAGAAAUCUUAAUCACGACACAACACUGUGAUUGGAGCAGCUCAAUAAUGUGACUAACAUACAACGACGAAUUUUGCCAGAGGUAACGAUUCGGAAGAUCAGUGGAAGCACACAAGGGCAAGAAAUACCAU
rnacentral:lncRNA from 1 species